rnacentral:misc_RNA from 1 species
GCCACGAGUAAAUCCCAACAAAUUGAAUGGCUUUGCAAGUGGAAGAAGCAGCAGGAAUAGAACCACCAUGAUAGUUGUUUACAAUGAUGACAAGAAACAACAAACAAGAACAAUUUCACAUUCUCCUUGUCAAGAGAAAAAGCGCAGUAAUCAAUUGCCACAACCAUAUAUGUGUUGGUGAAUGGUCUUAUAGAAAUGUUUUCUGAUUUAAA